rnacentral:rRNA from 1 species
GACGAACGCUGGCGGCGUGCUUAACACAUGCAAGUCGAACGGAAAGGCCCUGCUUUUGUGGGGUGCUCGAGUGGCGAACGGGUGAGUAACACGUGAGUAACCUGCCCUUGACUUUGGGAUAACUUCAGGAAACUGGGGCUAAUACCGGAUAGGAGCUCCUGCUGCAUGGUGGGGGUUGGAAAGUUUCGGCGGUUGGGGAUGGACUCGCGGCUUAUCAGCUUGUUGGUGGGGUAGUGGCUUACCAAGGCUUUGACGGGUAGCCGGCCUGAGAGGGUGACCGGCCACAUUGGGACUGAGAUACGGCCCAGACUCCUACGGGAGGCAGCAGUGGGGAGUAUUGCACAAUGGGCGGCAGCCUGGUGCAGCAACGCCGCGUGCGGGAUGACGGCCUUCGGGUUGUAAACCGCUUUCGCCUGUGACGAAGCGUGAGUGACGGUAAUGGGUAAAGAAGCACCGGCUAACUACGUG